GGCUCACUAGCUCAGCGGGUUAGAGCAUGCGCCUUUAAGCGCAGGGUCCUGGGUUCGAAUCCUGGUGGGCUA